AAAGUCGUAACAAGGUUUCCGUAGGUGAACCUGCGGAAGGAUCAUUACAGAAUUUCAAGAUUGGCGGUUGUGCUGGCUUUCGAGCAUGUGCACGCCUCUGGUCAAAAUCUUCUUCAACCACUGUGCACCUUUUGUGGAUCUGUGCAGAAAGCGCGAAUUGAGACGCUGCGCCUAACACGCGCUUGUCUUGUUUUUGUGCGCAUAUAUGCAUGGAUUCAUGUCUUACUACACACUAUAAACCUAAUCUCAGAAUGUAUCGUAUAGAGUUGGGACUCGCGCCCUUCUUUACACAAUGUCUAUACAACUUUCGACAACGGAUCUCUUGGCUCUC
rnacentral:misc_RNA from 1 species